AACGAACGCUGGCGGCAGGCUUAACACAUGCAAGUCGAGCGCCCCGCAAGGGGAGCGGCAGACGGGUGAGUAACGCGUGGGAAUCUACCCAUCUCUACGGAAUAACGCAUGGAAACGUGUGCUAAUACUGUAUACGUCCUUCGGGAGAAAGAUUUAUCGGAGAUGGAUGAGCCCGCGUUGGAUUAGCUAGUUGGUGGGGUAAAGGCCUACCAAGGCGACGAUCCGUAGCUGGUCUGAGAGGACGAUCAGCCACACUGGGACUGAGACACGGCCCAGACUCCUACGGGAGGCAGCAGUGGGGAAUAUUGGACAAUGGGCGCAAGCCUGAUCCAGCCAUGCCGCGUGAGUGAUGAAGGCCCUAGGGUUGUAAAGCUCUUUCACCGGUGAAGAUAAUGACGGUAACCGGAGAAGAAGCCCCGGCUAACUUCGUGCCAGCCGCCGCGGUAAUAC
rnacentral:rRNA from 1 species